rnacentral:sRNA from 1 species
GCCGGGCAUGGUGGCGGGUGCCUGUAAUCCCAGAUACUCGGGAGGCUGAGGCAGGAGAAUCACUUGAACCCGGGAGGCGGAGGUUGCAGUGAGCCAAGAUUGUGCCACUGUACUCCAGCCUGGGCGACAGAGUGAGAUUCUGUCUCAA